rnacentral:rRNA from 1 species
ACCGCUUGUGCGGGCCCACACUGGGACUGAGACACGGCCCAGACUCCUACGGGAGGCAGCAGUGGGGAAUUUUGGACAAUGGACGCAAGUCUGAUCCAGCCAUGCCGCGUGCGGGAAGAAGGCCUUCGGGUUGUAAACCGCUUUUGUCAGGGAAGAAACGCUCUGGGUUAAUACCCUGGGGUAAUGACGGUACCUGAAGAAUAAGCACCGGCUAACUACGUAUUACCGCGGCUGCUGGCAC